UCGGUAUCGUGUUCGUGUCCGAAAAGUAUAAGGACAUUUUAGAUGGGGUUUGAGAAAAUGACAUAACAGAUGGGGUUUGAAGAGGGUAGAUGUAUGCAAUCUCUAGUACCUUACAUGUUAUUAAUGAUAAAGGAAAUAAAUUGAGAACAUUAAAUUACCUUCUAUAAACAACAGGAACAAUACCAGCUUUAUAUUGAGCAAUGUGUUGGAAAACAGGUUGAGAGAGAUCAAAAUGGUGAUUGGGAGGGUCACACCAACCACCAGGUGGACAGAAAUUAGUGGCAGUAACAACAAUGGAGCCAGGGAGACACCAUUUUGGAUCAUUUGCACAUUUAAUUUCAUAGCAUGAACCACAACUCAAAC
rnacentral:lncRNA from 1 species